GAUGAAGAACGCAGCAAAAUGCGAUAAGUAAUGUGAAUUGCAGAAUUCAGUGAAUCAUCGAAUCUUUGAACGCACAUUGCGCCCGCUGGUAUUCCGGCGGGCAUGCCUGUUCGAGCGUCAUUUCAACCCUCAAGCCCCCGGGUUUGGUGUUGGGGAUCGGCUCUGCCCUUCUGGGCGGUGCCGCCCCCGAAAUACAUUGGCGGUCUCGCUGCAGCCUCCAUUGCGUAGUAGCUAACACCUCGCAACUGGAACGCGGCGCGGCCAUGCCGUAAAACCCCAACUUCUGAAUGUUGACCUCGGAUCAGGUAGGAAUACCCGCUGAACUUAAGCAUAUCAAUAAGCGGGGGA
rnacentral:misc_RNA from 1 species